GUAACACGUGAGUAACCUGCCCUUAACUCUGGGAUAAGCCUGGGAAACUGGGUCUAAUACCGGAUAUGACUCCUCAUCGCAUGGUGGGGGGUGGAAAGCUUUAUUGUGGUUUUGGAUGGACUCGCGGCCUAUCAGCUUGUUGGUGAGGUAAUGGCUCACCAAGGCGACGACGGGUAGCCGGCCUGAGAGGGUGACCGGCCACACUGGGACUGAGACACGGCCCAGACUCCUACGGGAGGCAGCAGUGGGGAAUAUUGCACAAUGGGCGCAAGCCUGAUGCAGCGACGCCGCGUGAGGGAUGACGGCCUUCGGGUUGUAAACCUCUUUCAGUAGGGAAGAAGCGAAAGUGACGGUACCUGCAGAAGAAGCGCCGGCUAACUACGUGCCAGCAGCCGCGGUAAUACGUAGGGCGCAAGCGUUAUCCGGAAUUAUUGGGCGUAAAGAGCUCGUAGGCGGUUUGUCGCGUCUGCCGUGAAAGUCCGGGGCUCAACUCCGGAUCUGCGGUGGGUACGGGCAGACUAGAGUGAUGUAGGGGAGACUGGAAUUCCUGGUGUAGCGGUGAAAUGCGCAGA
rnacentral:rRNA from 1 species